UACGUAGGGACCGAGCGUUGUCCGGAAUCAUUGGGCGUAAAGAGCGUGUAGGCGGCCUUUUAAGUCCUGCGUGAAAUCCUGCGGCUCAACCGCAGACGGUCGUGGGAAACUGGAAGGCUAGAGUGCGGGAGAGGAGAGUGGAAUUCCCGGUGUAGCGGUGAAAUGCGCAGAUAUCGGGAAGAACACCCGUGGCGAAGGCGGCUCUCUGGCCCGGUACUGACGCUGAGGCACGAAAGCGUGGGGAGCAACAGG
rnacentral:rRNA from 1 species